rnacentral:lncRNA from 1 species
CUUUUAUGUUCCUAUAGCAACCACCCUAGCAACCUAUUUCCCAAACCUUUAAUGAUAAAUUAAUCCUAGGCAACAGUCAUAAUUUACAUUUAUCACUUUAGUAUAAUUGGUUGUGGAUGCAAAAGUGUAAAAUUAUGUCAUGCAAAAUGCCUAUAAUUUGCCUUUUUGAAUACAUUGAAAAUUCCACUAUUUGAACCAGUGCUGCCC